ACGAACGCUGGCGGCACGCUUAACACAUGCAAGUCGAACGAGAGAAGAGAAGCUUGCUUUUCUGAUCUAGUGGCGGACGGGUGAGUAACACGUGAGCAAUCUGCCUUUCAGAGGGAGAUACCGAUUGGAAACGAUCGUUAAUACCGCAUAAUAUAAUUGAACCGCAUGAUUUGAUUAUCAAAGAUUUAUCGCUGAAAGAUGAGCUCGCGUCUGAUUAGCUAGUUGGUAAGGUAACGGCUUACCAAGGCGACGAUCAGUAGCCGGACUGAGAGGUUGAUCGGCCACAUUGGGACUGAGACACGGCCCAGACUCCUACGGGAGGCAGCAGUGGGGAAUAUUGCACAAUGGAGGAAACUCUGAUGCAGCGAUGCCGCGUGAGGGAAGAAGGUUUUAGGAUUGUAAACCUCUGUCUUCAGGGACGAAAAAAGACGGUACCUGAGGAGGAAGCUCCGGCUAACUACGUGCCAGCAGCCGCGGUAAUACGUAGGGAGCGAGCGUUGUCCGGAAUUACUGGGUGUAAAGGGAGCGUAGGCGGGAUCGCAAGUCAGAUGUGAAAAUUAUGGGCUUAACCCAUAAACUGCAUUUGAAACUGUGGUUCUUGAGUGAAGUAGAGGUAAGCGGAAUUCCUAGUGUAGCGGUGAAAUGCGUAGAUAUUAGGAGGAACAUCAGUGGCGAAGGCGGCUUACUGGGCUUUAACUGACGCUGAGGCUCGAAAGCGUGGGGAGCAAACAGGAUUAGAUACCCUGGUAGUCCACGCCGUAAACGAUGAUUACUAGGUGUGGGGGGACUGACCCCUUCCGUGCCGCAGCAAACGCAAUAAGUAAUCCACCUGGGGAGUACGACCGCAAGGUUGAAACUCAAAGGAAUUGACGGGGGCCCGCACAAGCAGUGGAGUAUGUGGAUUAAUUCGAAGCAACGCGAAGAACCUUACCAGGUCUUGACAUCGUAUGCAUAGCUCAGAGAUGAGUGAAAUCUCUUCGGAGACAUAUAGACAGGUGGUGCAUGGUUGUCGUCAGCUCGUGUCGUGAGAUGUUGGGUUAAGUCCCGCAACGAGCGCAACCCUUACUGUUAGUUGCUACGCAAGAGCACUCUAGCAGGACUGCCGUUGACAAAACGGAGGAAGGUGGGGAUGACGUCAAAUCAUCAUGCCCCUUAUGACCUGGGCCUCACACGUACUACAAUGGCUGUAAACAGAGGGAUGCAAAGCCGCGAGGUGGAGCGAACCCCUAAAAGCAGUCUUAGUUCGGAUUGUAGGCUGCAACCCGCCUACAUGAAGUCGGAAUUGCUAGUAAUCGCAGAUCAGCAUGCUGCGGUGAAUACGUUCCCGGGCCUUGUACACACCGCCCGUCACGCCAUGGGAGUCGGUAACACCCGAAGCCUGUAGUCUAACCGCAAGGAGGACGCAGUCGAAGGUGGGAUUGAUGACUGGGGUG
rnacentral:rRNA from 1 species